rnacentral:rRNA from 1 species
GAGUUUGAUCUUGGCUCAGAUUGAACGCUGGCGGCAGGCCUAACACAUGCAAGUCGAGCGGAUGACGGGAGCUUGCUCCUUGAUUCAGCGGCGGACGGGUGAGUAAUGCCUAGGAAUCUGCCUGGUAGUGGGGGACAACGUUUCGAAAGGAACGCUAAUACCGCAUACGUCCUACGGGAGAAAGCAGGGGACCUUCGGGCCUUGCGCUAUCAGAUGAGCCUAGGUCGGAUUAGCUAGUUGGUGGGGUAAUGGCUCACCAAGGCGACGAUCCGUAACUGGUCUGAGAGGAUGAUCAGUCACACUGGAACUGAGACACGGUCCAGACUCCUACGGGAGGCAGCAGUGGGGAAUAUUGGACAAUGGGCGAAAGCCUGAUCCAGCCAUGCCGCGUGUGUGAGAAGGUACUUCGGAUUGUAAAGCACUUUAAGUUGGGAGGAAGGGCAGUAAGUUAAUAACCUUG